rnacentral:rRNA from 1 species
UACGUAGGGGGCAAGCGUUAUCCGGAAUUACUGGGUGUAAAGGGAGCGUAGACGGUAAUGUAAGUCUGGAGUGAAAGGCGGGGGCCCAACCCCCGGACUGCUCUGGAAACUAUGUUACUAGAGUGCAGGAGAGGUAAGCGGAAUUCCUAGUGUAGCGGUGAAAUGCGUAGAUAUUAGGAGGAACACCAGUGGCGAAGGCGGCUUACUGGACUGUAACUGACGUUGAGGCUCGAAAGCGUGGGGAACAAACAGG